rnacentral:tRNA from 1 species
GGAAUGUAGCUCAGUUGGUGAAGUGCUUGCCUUGUAUGCGCAAGACCCUGGGUUCAAUCCCCAGCACCA